AAGGAUCAUUAACACGUAUCCAACGUAUCCACCCCUGUGGUCCUGUGCGCGGCUCUAUAUGUAGUGGUAGAAACCAACUUUGUGACCUACGUGGUUGCGAACUGCAAAUUUCACUGAUUCAGAGCACGUUAAUCUGCGUGAUUGAUAUGACUUUCUGAUCAGUUAAAUAUGGUAAUACUAGCUUUCUGUGCGAAGGCAGCUUCAUAUAGCAGACGUUUUAACCAAACCAUUUACCAAAUUGACUAAUUUAGAAAUAAGUACGAUUCGCUCUGCUUUAUUUCGAUAUACGAAACGUAUAACAACUCUUAACAACGGAUAUCUUGGUUCUC
rnacentral:misc_RNA from 1 species